rnacentral:rRNA from 1 species
UACAGAGGGGGGCAAGCGUUGUUCGGAAUUACUGGGCGUAAAGGGCGCGUAGGCGGCCUGCUAAGUCGAACGUGAAAUCCCUGGGCUCAACCCAGGAACUGCGUCCGAUACUGGUUGGCUUGAAUCCGGGAGAGGGACGUGGAAUUCCAGGUGUAGCGGUGAAAUGCGUAGAUAUCUGGAGGAACACCGGUAGCGAAGGCGACGUCCUGGACCGGCAUUGACGCUGAGGCGCGAAAGCCAGGGGAGCAAAGCGGG